UGUGACUUUGGCCAGGCACCAAUCAUCUGCCUCCUUCUGUGCCUGCCUGGCUGCCCCUACCCUGGGGCUCCCUCCUAGCCCCCACCUCACCUACUGGCUCACUGAGACAGAGCCAAACAUGAAAGGGAAGGUGACGGCCUGGCCAUAGGGCCCAGGAAAAUGCAGGUAUCAUUAACAGCCUGGAGCACUGUGGCCUGUCCACUCUCAACCCUCUGCUGCCCACCCCUUCCUGGAAUAGACCCCAGGCCACAUACAGAGGGGGCAAGCCCAAGGACUCAACUGGCCCUCCGAACGCUAUCCCACUUUCCAGCCAGGAUUGAAGGAGAUCCCAUCUUGGGUCUAAAGGAAUGGGGGUGAAGACUGCAUCUUGUCGUUCCAGUUCCACCCCAUUCUGGCAUGGGAAGCAUGUGUGGGCUUCUACUCUAUGGGAGAUUCAUAGCCUCAAUCCUUAAGGAAUUCUCAAUCUGAAAGGAAAACACAAACCCUGACCUCAGGGAGCUCCCAGUUUGACAGUGGAGACAGAGAGGCCCUGCAUCAAGUAGAAAAACAACCCCCACUGCUCUCAAGCACACAGCAAUGAAGAUAUGUAUCCUUGGUGCUACAGGCAAAUGCUGACGAUACGACAGUGAAUACAACAUGAAAAAACAAGCACACUUCUCACCCCUAUGGAGCUUUAUUCUGGUCAGGCAGAAGGAGAAGGAAAUGUAAACAUGCAAGGUCAGGUACUGCUGUGAAGCAAAAUAAAGCUGUGGGUACUGUGCGAAGGA
rnacentral:lncRNA from 1 species